rnacentral:rRNA from 12 species
AUUAACCCAUCUGUAUAUGCAGCGCUCCCAUUCAGAUCUCAGAAGCUAAGCAGGGCUGGGCCUGAUUAGUACUUGGAUGGAGACCGCCUUGGAAGACCAGGGGCCGUUAGGC